CAGUAGCCGCGGGAAUACGUAGGGGGCGAGCGUUGUCCGAAGUUACUGGGCGUAAAGCGCGCGUAGGCGGCUUCUUAAGUCUGAGGUGAAAGGUUCAACGCUUAACGUGAACAGUGCCUUGGAUACUGGGGUGCUUGAGUAUGGGAGAGGGCAGUGGAAUGGCUGGUGUAGCGGUGAAAUGCGUAGAUAUCAGUCGGAACACCAAUGGCGAAGGCAGCUGCCUGGCCUAAUACUGACGCUGAGGUGCGAAAGCGUGGGGAGCGAACGGGAUUAGAUACCCGGGUAGUCCCUGUCUCUUAUA
rnacentral:rRNA from 1 species